rnacentral:rRNA from 1 species
UAACGAAGGGGGCUAGCGGUUGCUCGGAAUUAUCUGGGCGUAAAGCGCACGUAGGCGGCUUGUUAAGUCAGGGGUGAAAUCCUGGAGCUCAACUCCAGAACUGCCUUUGAUACUGGCGAGCUUGAGUCCGGGAGAGGUGAGUGGAACUGCGAGUGUAGAGGUGAAAUUCGUAGAUAUUGCAAGAACACCAGUGGCGAAGGCGGCUCACUGGCCCGGUACUGACGCUGAGGUGCGAAAGCGUGGGGAGCAAACA